rnacentral:lncRNA from 1 species
GACAGUGUUUUAUUACUCGAUAAAUCCUAAUUUUACCCUGAACAUUUUCUAAUCAAAAGUUGUAUAGAAAAAAAAAAAACUGGAUAGGUAUAUUCAGUUACCUUCUAUUUGCUAUCCACUCUACCAAACUGCUCCAGCAUUCUCUGUGUCUGUCUGGGCAGGUCUUCUUCCACACCCAGCAGUUAUAGUCAAUGCCCAGGAGACUUGUAUAUUUUUUUUUCAUUUUUAGCUGGUAGCUGGUAAUUCCUUCUUCUACUCUGUUUGCAAAUAUUUAUUUGGUGCCAACCAUGCUGAAAUCUGAUUAAGUGCUGUAAAUUCAGCAGUGAACAAGGCUAACAGUCCCUGCCUAUGUGGAGCUUACACUCAGAACUAGGGAGAGAGAUAUUCAGUAAUCAUAGCUUUUUCCAAUUACUGUUUUCAUAGAUACUACAGGAAAUAAGUACAAGAUGCUGUGAGAUUAUAAAAAGGGAACCAGACCUGAUCUGAUGGGUCAGGAAGGCCUGAAAGAUAAUAGGAUUUGGCUAGGUGGCAUAGAUGAAGUGGAUGUGCCAGUCAGGGAAUGUCUUACCUACAGGCCUGUGAUAAGAGAAAUUUAAGGCCAAAGUGGCUGAAGCAGAGGACCCUAGUGGAGACUAGUUAGUUAGAUAGGGUCAUGUGGACUCAAGAAGGGUUCUGAUUUUUACCCUAAGAGAUGGGUGCCAAAAGGAAAUGAGAGCCUGGUAGAAGCUCUGUCUCUAAGUUUAGGAGAACCAUCAUGUUGUUUUCUUGCAAGUCACAUGGACCCAGGCCAUCCCAGUAAAGGAAAAAUGUCCUGUGUAUAUCUACCCCACUAAAGUCCAAAACAUAUUCUGUAAAUCCAAAGAAUUUGUAAACAAGUAGUACAUCAAAAUCUCCUCCAUGCUUAGUAUGUGUGAGGUCCUGGAUUCAAUCCCCAGCACCACAAAAUAAAUAAAUAUUCCUUCCAGACGAUUUGAGAAGUAGGAGUUCCUGUUAAGUGAAUAAUCUAGUUACUUGUCAACUACUAUGAUUAACUACAUUAGUUACCUAAGAGGUAUGAGGUGUGGACUCCCAUUAUCCAUCUGUUCUAGCCACAGCUUCACCUCUUAUUGAAUAUGUGACUGUGGGCAAAUUACUUAGCCUUUCUGUCAUCUGUAAAUAGGGAUAACAACAGUAUUGCUGUAAGGAUUAAUGUAUGUUAGACCCCUGGGACAGUGCCUGCCUAGUACAUGGUAGGAGCUCAAAAGUAUUAAUCAUUAUUACCAUGAUGCCCAUUCAUGAAUUACAAACAGAUUGUAUCUGUAGAAUUAUAAUAGAUUAAAACACACUUCAAAACUAGGUCAAGCUAUAAUAAUAUUGCUUUGAUGAUUCAAGCACUGAAAUACACAUAAUAUUGAAGGUGUUAAUGUUGACUCUAUGUUGUAUCCCAUAAGGUAACUUUUUUAGAGUAGUAUCCCUAGUUACCACAUCUUCAUUUGUUUCCAAAACAUAAGAGUGGAGGAAAAUUUUAGUAACUUGAAAUCUC